rnacentral:rRNA from 1 species
AACGAACGCUGGCGGCAGGCUUAACACAUAAAAGUCGAACGCCCCGCAAGGGGAGUGGCAGACGGGUGAGUAACGCGUGGGAAUCUACCCAUCCUUACGGAACAACUCCGGGAAACUGGAGCUAAUACCGUAUACGCCCUUCGGGGGAAAGAUUUAUCGAGGAUGGAUGAGCCCGCGUUGGAUUAGCUAGUUGGUGGGGUAAAGGCCUACCAAGGCGACGAUCCAUAGCUGGUCUGCGAGGAUGAUCAGCCACAUUGGGACUGAGACACGGCCCAAACUCCUACGGGAGGCAGCAGUGGGGAAUAUUGGACAAUGGGCGCAAGCCUGAUCCAGCCAUGCCGCGUGAGUGAUGAAGGCCCUAGGGUUGUAAAGCUCUUUCACCGGAGAAGAUAAUGACGGUAUCCGGAGAAGAAGCCCCGGCUAACUUCGUGCCAGCCGCCGCCGUAAGAC